GGAGGAUAGAUCGAUUCCAGGCGGGCCGUGAUUUGACAACUCCUCGUCGGUCUCGCGCUGGUCGUCGAAGACGUCGAGCUGCACUGUAAGGUCCGGAGCGUGGCUCUUCCUGCAAGAACAAUCGUCACCUUCCUGAUCCGGCGGAGGAACGCGAAAAUCGGAGGGAGACAGGUCGAGUUCUUUCCCUGUCAGACUCUCGGCUCCAUUAACGUUGUCAGGAAUUCGGGAAGACAGAGGGCGAAGAGGAAAAAGAAAAUUCCGAGAGGACAAUCCUAGUUUAAGGGGUAUAACUAUCUUGUUAGCCCACGAGAUAAUUAGAAGUUCAGCGCAGAAAGACAAACACAGUGAUUCAAAGAGUUGAAGAGAUUAUACUACUUGGAUUGAAGGGUUAAGCGUUAUCGGCGCACCAUUAGCUGGAUCAUGCGCCGCGCCGAUUCCACGGCUGGUCCAGCGCGAAUUAUGUUUGCUCUGGGUAACUCGAAUAUUCGAUAAGACGGCGAGCCUCGUAUUUAACGGACGAUUAACGCGACAAAUUGCUACACGAUAAAACGCAUAUUUCACAACGCCGUUGCACGAGCUAGUAUGCCGCGAAUGUAACUCUGCAGGAACGUUACGACACGGUCCAAUUUCCAUAAACAAGUAGACAAUUCUGAUGAACAUAAAGAUACAAGAAGAGGAUGAGAAUGUAUCAUGGAAGAUGGAAGAGAAGCGACGAGCUCAUGUUUAAAAGAAGCUUAGGAAUCCAUGGAACGUGCAUCGACUGUGAGAGAGUUGAAAUGGUGGAGACACAGGAAAAGGAAGGAGCGUGUCCCUCGACCUCGCACUAGGCACACCUGUAUACUUCCAUUUUAAUUGCCGUCGCAAAUAAUCCGAACUGGGAUUUUGAAUCAUUCUACACCGAUACGAGGCAACUGUGGUUACCUUGUCGCAACGUGGUCAUGGCCCCGACUGGUCGCGAGGUAUAGUGGUCAGGAUCGUCCCCCCUUUACUUUUACUUCUGCAUCUAUGACGCUCAUCGACGUCUCCGACCGUACAUACGCGUUCGUGGUACACGAAAUCACAAUUUUUUUUCUACGCCGAUCGAUUUACCCAUCGAUUUCGUUGAUUCUUUUAUUCCCAUGCCCAGAUAAAAUCUACAACCAUGGAGAACGAAUGUGUUCCUAAAUGAAAAUACCGGUGGGCUGCUAAUUAUGUAACUCCGCACUUAAAAUACUAUUCCUUUGUCGUUAAUAUCAAUCAAGACUUGUAAUUAAUGAUACAGCGUCCGACGUUGCAAGAACAUAUAGAAAUGAAGAUAUGCAAAACAUUAAGUUAAUAAAGUAUUCGUUAAAGUAUAAGACGUAUUAUUUACACUAACUACUGUUCUUUCAUUUUCUAAUUCUUAAGGGCUUUGCAUCGUGAACAAAGAAACGAUUAUUUGAACGCUGGAAAUAAUCGCUGUCGUGACUGUCAGGUUGUCAGGAGAAUAACGAAGAUAAUAACGCACGUGACAUUUGACGGAAAGGAAGCGUACCACUUUUCUUAAAAGACGGGGUCCCUCCCAAAGAAACGCCGCGAAGUUUGACAGGUGUUCAACAGGUUGACCGCCGAGUGGAUGGUCCUUAGCUUGAUUGGCAUCCCUAUCGCAGUAGCACGCGACGUCGUGGCGCGCACACACUUUUUUCGUCGAGCACCGAUUCGCGGAAACUGCGUUUCAUGAGCGCGCGACAGA